GAAGGUAUAGCUCAAGUGGUAGAGCACAUGCUUAGCAUGCACAAGGUCCUGAGUUCAAUCCCCAGUGCCUCCU
rnacentral:tRNA from 1 species